rnacentral:rRNA from 1 species
CAGAGGUCCCAAGCGUUGUUCGGAUUCACUGGGCGUAAAGGGUGCGUAGGCGGUCGGGUAAGUCUGAUGUGAAAUCUCACAGCUUAACUGUGAAACUGCAUUGGAUACUAUCCGGCUCGAGGAAUGGAGGGGAGACUGGAAUACUUGGUGUGGCAGUGAAAUGCGUAGAUAUCAAGUGGAACACCAGUGGCGAAGGCGAGUCUCUGGACAUUUCCUGACGCUGAGGCACGAAAGCCAGGGGAGCAAACGGGAUUAGAUACCCCGGUAGUCCUGGCCCUAAACGGUGCGCAUUUGCUGUGAGUGGAAUCGACCCCGCUCGUGGCGAAGCUAACGCGUUAAAUGCGCCGCCUGGGAAAUACGGCCGCAAGGUUA